rnacentral:lncRNA from 1 species
AUUCACAAGUCCCUUACAUAAAAGGCAAACUCCGGUGAUUGAUUUCUCUCAUGCCCAACCGCUCUCCAUCUCUCUCUGUGUAGGCUAAGCAAGAGACAAGAUAUAUUCCUUGUUCUAGGCGUAUUCCUGCUUCCCUGUUCAUCUUCUCCGGUACUAUGGGUUCGUCGGAAGUUAUGGAUUCCGGGAGGUUCCCAGCUGCCCAGAAGUCAAACUUUGCUCAUACUUGUAGUCGUCUCAGUCAAUACUUGAAGGAGAAGGGUAGCUUUGGAGAUCUCAGCCUUGGUCUCACCCGAAACUUUGAGCCUAAUG